GGAAUUUUGCGCAAUGGGCGAAAGCCUGACGCAGCAACGCCGCGUGAGGGAUGAAGGCCUUCGGGUUGUAAACCUCUUUUGUCAGGGAAGAUCGUGACGGUACCUGGCGAAUAAGCCACGGCUAACUACGUGCAAGCAGCCGCGGUAAUACGUAGGUGGCAAGCGUUGUCCGGAUUUACUGGGCGUAAAGAGCGCGCAGGCGGUCGUUCAAGUCGAGUGUGAAAUCCCCCGGCUCAACUGGGGUGGGUCACUCGAUACUGAUCGACUCGAAGGCAGGAGAGGGAAGUGGAAUUCCCGGUGUAGUGGUGAAGUGCGUAGAUAUCGGGAGGAACACCAGUGGCGAAGGCGACUUCCUGGCCUGUUCUUGACGCUGAGGCGCGAAAGCUAGGGGAGCAAAC
rnacentral:rRNA from 1 species